ACUUGAGACCGGCGCACGGGUGCGUAACGCGUAUGCAAUCUACCUUUUACAGAGGGAUAGCCCAGAGAAAUUUGGAUUAAUACCUCAUAGUAUUAUGAAAUGGCAUCAUUUUAUAAUUAAAGUUACAACGGUAAAAGAUGAGCAUGCGUCCCAUUAGCUAGUUGGUGUGGUAACGGCAUACCAAGGCAACGAUGGGUAGGGGUCCUGAGAGGGAGAUCCCCCACACUGGUACUGAGACACGGACCAGACUCCUACGGGAGGCAGCAGUGAGGAAUAUUGGUCAAUGGGCGCAAGCCUGAACCAGCCAUGCCGCGUGCAGGAUGACGGUCCUAUGGAUUGUAAACUGCUUUUGUACAGGAAGAAACACUCCCUCGUGAGGGAGCUUGACGGUACUGUAAGAAUAAGGAUCGGCUAACUCCGUGCCAGCAGCCGCGGUAAUACGGAGGAUCCAAGCGUUAUCCGGAAUCAUUGGGUUUAAAGGGUCCGUAGGCGGGUUUAUAAGUCAGUGGUGAAAGCCCAUCGCUCAACGAUGGAACGGCCAUUGAUACUGUAGAUCUUGAAUUAUUAGGAAGUAACUAGAAUAUGUAGUGUAGCGGUGAAAUGCUUAGAGAUUACAUGGAAUACCCAUUGCGAAGGCAGGUUACUACUAAUGGAUUGACGCUGAUGGACGAAAGCGUGGGUAGCGAACAGGAUU
rnacentral:rRNA from 1 species